rnacentral:rRNA from 1 species
GACGAACGCUGGCGGCGUGCUUAACACAUGCAAGUCGAACGGUGAAGCCCUUCGGGGUGGAUCAGUGGCGAACGGGUGAGUAACACGUGAGCAACCUGCCCCUGGCUCUGGGACAACCACUGGAAACGGUGGCUAAUACCGGAUACGACCCGCCUCGCCAUCGAGUGUGGGUGGAAAGUUUUUCGGCUGGGGAUGGGCUCGCGGCCUAUCAGCUUGUUGGUGAGGUGAAGGCUCACCAAGGCGACGACGGGUAGCCGGCCUGAGAGGGCGACCGGCCACACUGGGACUGAGACACGGCCCAGACUCCUACGGGAGGCAGCAGUGGGGAAUAUUGCACAAUGGGCGAAAGCCUGAUGCAGCGACGCCGCGUGAGGGAUGACGGCCUUCGGGUUGUAAACCUCUUUCAGCUCCGAAGAAGCGAAAGUGACGGUAGGAGCAGAAGAAGCACCGGCUAACUACGUG